GGGCCUGUAGCUCAGUUGGUAGAGCUUCCGACUUUUAAUCGGGAUGUCGCGGGUUCGAGCCCCGCCGGGCCCA
rfam:Arthrobacter chlorophenolicus A6 plasmid pACHL01, complete sequence.